UGAAUACGAGACGCUAAGGCGUCGAAGUAGUGUAUGUCAUACUUCCAAGAAAAGCUUGCACUGUCAUAAGUAAAAAAUGCCUGUACCAUAACCGACACAGGUGGGUAGGUAGAGUAUACUAAGGGGCGCGAGAUAACUCUCUCUAAGGAACUCGGCAAAAUAACUCCGUAACUUCGGGAGAAGGAGUACCUUAUUCUAUAAGGUUGCAAUAACAAGAUCCAAGCAACUGUUUAUCAAAAACACAGGUCUCCGCUAAGUCGUAAGACGAUGUAUGGGGGCUGACGCCUGCCCAGUGCCAGAAGGUUAAAGAAGUCGGUUAGCAUUAGCGAAGCUGGUAACUGAAGCCCUGGUGAACGGCGGCCGUAACGAUAACGGUCCUAAGGUAGCGAAAUUCCUUGUCGGGUAAGUUCCGACCCGCACGAAAGGCGUAAUGAUUUGGAUACUGUCUCGGAGAGGGGCUCGGUGAAAUAGACUUGUCUGUGAAGAUGCGGACUACCUGCACCAGGACAGAAAGACCCUAUGAAGCUCUACUGUAACUUGAAAUUGAAAUUGGACUUUAUUCGCGCAGUAUAGGUGGGAGGUGUUGAUUAUAAUCUUGCGGGAUUAUUGGAGCCAUCAGUGAGAUACCACUCUUGUAAUGUUAGAUUUCUAACUUUGAAUCAUUAUCUGGUCAAAGGACAGUUUCAGGCGGGCAGUUUGACUGGGGCGGUCGCCUCCCAAACGGUAACGGAGGCGUACAAAGGUUUCCUCUGAACGGGUAGAAAUCGUAUCUAGAGUGUAAAGGCAUAAGGAAGCUUGACUGUGAGACCUACAAGUCGAACAGGGACGAAAGUCGGUCUUAGUGAUCUGACGGUACUGAGUGGAAAGGCCGUCACUCAACGGAUAAAAGUUACUCUAGGAUAACAGGCUGAUCUCCCCCAAGAGUUCACAUCGACGGGGAGGUUUGGCACCUCGAUGUCGGCUCAUCGCAUCCUGGGGCGGUAGUACGUCCCAAGGGUUGGGCUGUUCGCCCAUGAAAGCGGUACGCGAGCUGGGUUCAGAACGUCGUGAGACAGUUCGGUCCAUAUCCGGUGUAGGCGUUAGAAUAUUGAGAGGAGCCUUCUUUAGUACGAGAGGACCGAGAAGGACAUACCUCUGGUGUACCAGUUAUCGUGCCAACGGUAAACGCUGGGUAGCUAUGUAUGGAGUGGAUAACCGCUGAAAGCAUCUAAGUGGGAAGCCCACCUCAAGAUAAGUAUUCUCA
rnacentral:rRNA from 1 species